rnacentral:lncRNA from 8 species
CCUCCCUUUUGGUUUCAGGUUUUGCGGCCUUUUGGGGGAGGUGGGUACUGUCACGCCCUGACCAUAGAGAGCCAUUGUUUCUCUAUGGUGAAGUGGUUCAGGGUGUGACUGGGGGGUGAUGUAGUUUAUUUAUUUCUGUGUGGGGUUCUAGGUUUUAUUUUCUAUGUUGGAGAUUUGCAUUAUUCCCAAUUAGAGGCAGCUGUUAAUUGUUGUCUCUAAUUGGGGAUCAUACUUAAGUAGCAUUUUUUCCAUGUAGGUUAUGGGGUAUUAUUUUGAGUUUGUGCCUGUUGCACCUCUGUCGUAGCGGUUUGUUUGUGUAUAGUUUAUUGUUUGUCUUGCUAAGUUUCACAUAAUAAUAAUAAUAAUAAAGAUGUGGAACGAUACUCAAGCUGCGCCUUGGUCCGUUUCUACAAAACGCUCGUGACACGUUCAAAUCCUUUUGCUGCAGGAUUAUUUCGCUGCAACCAUACUGGAUAAUUAAGAUCUUACAUCUGUACAUCUACAGUAUAUGUUUAAUUUGUAAUAUUAGACAAUGUGCAAAAUGUUUCCUCUUUUAGGAACUUGACCAUAAUAUGUGUUUUAUUUACAGGGCAAGAAGAGCCUGUUAACCCAAAGGUUUUUGAGAUUGUAGGAAAAACCGUUGGGUUGCUUUUCCUUUUCAGCCUGAUCGUAUUCUUUGCAUGGAGGAGGAGAACAUCUAGACUCCCCAGUGGGUUUGACAUGACAGACCGUUCACAGGGACAGGUGGGAAUGUUAGACUCAACUUUUAAAACCCAUCUAGAAUGUGCAUUUAAGGAAGAAUUGAAUGAAUACUGUGUUGUGUAACUAUGAAGUCAUUAUUCUUCUGAAGUGUCGGUCCUGACACCUUUUCCUUUCUCUGUUCUCUCCACAGAACUCCCCAGUUGGGACAGUAUGCUCCAACCAGGCCAGGGUCAGGAGUGGGAACCAGGAACCACCCCAUAUCAACCUUGAUGGGCUUUAUGCCAACGGGAAUUAAGUGUUUUAUGUACAGUAUAUCAUUGUGUAUCUGUUUUCUGUUGGUGCGUUUGUUACAUUUAUAAUUGUGUGCUCUUUGAUUAUCUGCAUUUUUGGACCUUUAUUUUGGACCAUUUAUUUUGAAUGUUGCGUUCAGAGCAUCCGUUUAAUGGGUUCCAGUAUAAAGGAACUGCUGAGUUCAACUAGCCUACUGAAGGCAGUAAGACCUGAAAAUGACUGUCUAGGAAUGAUCAACAACCAACUUGAUAGAUCUUGAUGAAUUUUUUAAAAGAAUUAUGUGCAAAUAUUGUACAAUCCAGGCGUGCAAAGCUCUUAGACUUACCCUGAAAGACUCACAGCUGUAACAUACAUUGACUCAGGGGUGUGAAUACUUAUGUAAAUGAGAUUUCUGUAUUUAAUUUUCAAUAAAUCUGCAAACAUUUCUAAACAUAUUUUCACUUUGCUAUUAUGGGUUAUUUUGUGUAAAUGGAUGACAAACAAAUCUAUUUAAUUUUUUUAUUCAGGCAUUAACACAACAAAAUGUGGAAUAAG